rnacentral:lncRNA from 1 species
AAGAAUGUUGCAAGUAUGGAUGUUGAAUUGACUGUGGAGGAAAGGAAUCUUCUUUCCGUUGGUUAUAAGAAUGUGGUAGGUUCUAGGAGAGCAUCUUGGAGGAUCUUGUCCUCUAUUGAGCAGAAGGAAGAAUCUAGAGGAAAUGAGCAAAAUGUCAAGCGAAUCAAGGAGUACCGGCAAAAGUUGGAGUCUGAGCUCACCAGCAUUUGCAAUGAUAUUAUGGUAGUCAUUGAUGAGCAUCUGAUUCCGUCAUGCACUGCAGGAGAAUCAACUGUGUUUUACCACAAGAUG